rnacentral:lncRNA from 1 species
UUUUCGAAGUCUUUAUUUCUCCAUGUUUCUCUUUCCCCAGCCUCUUCCCUCCUAGGUGCUCUGGUGUGUCUGCUUCUGGCCCCAUCUGUUUUCCCUUGCUCCAGGUGGCUACAGCUGGCAUAUGCCUUUAAAUCCUUUCGACAAACACUGCUGGGAAGGUGGUUCCAAUGCUGAAAGUUCUGAGGGCGAUGAAACAAAGGCAAGCCUCUGAGUCAGUCCCUCUGGUUGCUGCCAGACUGGUCGAAAAAUACAACCACAGCUUUUUGAGAACAAGGACCUUAUUGGCCUCUCUGGCACAAGCAAGCUGCCCAAGGAAUGUGGGCCACCAUCUCCAUAGCUGCUUUCUGAACUGGGGAUUGAGAGGUGGCGAUCACAGGGCACGCCCUAAGAAACCUGCACACUAACCUCCCUCUCAGACACUGCUUCUGGAGAGCCCAACCUGUGACCGCUGGGUCAGGAGGGGUCUGAGGAAGAAGAUGCUAAGAUGGGAUUCUGGCUCUGGAUCACCCACUGCCUAGCUGCUGAUAAGGAUCCUUUUGCUGGGGGUAGAUGGAGCGGGUACAUGCCCCCGCACAGAGCAGAGGAUGCCAAGAAAACACAGUGAGGAAAGGAUUAUCUCUUCAGUGUUGGGAAAACUGGAUAUCCACAUGCAGAAGAAUGAAACUGGAACUUUACCUCACAUUAUGUACAAAAAUCAACUAAAAAUAGAUUAAAGACAAAAACCUAAGACUGGAGACUACAAAACUAUUAGAAGAAGAAAACACAGGGGUAAGCUUCUUGACAUUGACCUGGGUAAUGAUUUUUUUGGACACGACACUAAAAGCACAAGCAAAAAGGCAAAAAUAGACAAGUGGACUGCAUCAAACUGAAAAGCUUCUGCACAGCAAAGGAAACAAAAGAGUGGA